rnacentral:rRNA from 1 species
GACGAACGCUGGCGGCGUGCUUAACACAUGCAAGUCGAACGGAAAGGCCCUGCUUUUGUGGGGUGCUCGAGUGGCGAACGGGUGAGUAACACGUGAGUAACCUGCCCUUGACUUUGGGAUAACUUCAGGAAACUGGGGCUAAUACCGGAUAGGAGCUCCUGCUGCAUGGUGGGGGUUGGAAAGUGUCGGCGGUUGGGGAUGGACUCGCGGCUUAUCAGCUUGUUGGUGGGGUAGGGGCUUACCAAGGCUUUGACGGGUAGCCGGCCUGAGAGGGUGACCGGCCACAUUGGGACUGAGAUACGCCCCAGACUCCUACGUGCGGCAGCAGUGGGGAAUAUUGCACAAUGGGCGGAAGCCUGAUGCAGCAACGCCGCGUGCGGGAUGACGGCCUUCGGGUUGUAAACCUCUGUCGCCUGUGACGAAGCGUGAGUGACGGUAAUGGGUAAAGAAGCACCGGCUAACUACGUG